rnacentral:tRNA from 3 species
GGAUCUGUACCCCAACGGGCAGAGGCGAGGGCAAAAGCAUCGAGCACCCUCGGUCCAGGUUCGAGUCCUGGCGGAUCCA